GUGAAUGCUAUGACAAGGAGGAGUACAUAGAUUCCCGAAGCAAAGAGAGAAGAUGGAAGGUGCAAGUCUUCGUGAAGGAUUUAUGGAAGUAGCCUUUGAGCUGUGAACCGAAAGGAUAUAGAUAAAGUGUAAGAAUAUCUGAGUAGACUUCAACGCAGUCCCAGCGUUAUCAGGGAGGCAGUAUCGGAAAGUGAAACCAGGAUAAGGGAAACGUUCCUGUACUGAACAGAGAGCAGAAAGUAAUUUCUGAAUUUAGGUGGUAACACGGAUGUAAUAUUCGCCCUGAGC
rnacentral:ncRNA from 1 species